AUUUUCUCAUUCCUCGGCCCCACCAACUUCGGGUACAUCAAAGCCCUGGUGACAACGUUCUACCCGACAAUUGACUUGCAAAACUACACGCUAUCCGGCUUCUCUGACGUCACAAACAUUCUUUGCUCAACUGCGACGGGAAUCAUCGCAGCUCACGCGUAUUUUCCGCCGCUGGUGGCGAUUAUUUGGAGACGAAAAAUCGUCCGAGAAAUCAAUAGUCAACAAUCGGCUUUAUCCGCCAGAACUCAACUGCAAACUCGACAUUUUGUGCAGUGUCUGACGUGGCAAACGUGUCUUCCGUUGUUUUUCUACGUGGUUCCUUAUACAUUUUAUCUCGUACAGCAACUUUUUGGAAUCGGCACCGCCAUCACCGAAUAUUUGAUCUUCCCGCUGAACACAUUCUCGGCGGUAGUUGACCCGAUUUGCAUGCUUCACUUCAUCAAGCCUUAUCAGCGAAAGGCCAAGCAGCUUAUUUCGAAUUUACUUGGCCUAAAUAUUGCUCAAAAUUCUAGCACAAUUGCAACAGUGUCUUCUCAGCUAUAA
rnacentral:misc_RNA from 1 species